rnacentral:rRNA from 1 species
UACGUAGGGCGCAAGCGUUGUCCGGAAUUAUUGGGCGUAAAGAGCUCGUAGGCGGUUUGUCGCGUCUGCUGUGAAAACUCGAGGCUCAACCUCGGGCUUGCAGUGGGUACGGGCAGACUAGAGUGCGGUAGGGGGAGACUGGAAUUCCUGGUGUAGCGGUGGAAUGCGCAGAUAUCAGGAGGAACACCGAUGGCGAAGGCAGGUCACUGGGCCGCAACUGACGACUGGAGGAGCGAAAGCAUGGGGAGCGAACAGG